rnacentral:rRNA from 1 species
GAUGAACGCUAGCUACAGGCCUAACACAUGCAAGUCGAGGGGCAGCGGGAAGGAAGCUUGCUUUCUUCGCCGGCGACCGGCGCACGGGUGCGUAACGCGUAUCGAACCUACCCUUUACUCGGGAACAGCCUUGCGAAAGCAAGAUUAAUGCCCGAUGUUCCGCGUUUGCUGCAUGGCAAAUUCGGCAAAGAUUUAUUGGUAAAGGAUGGCGAUGCGUCCCAUUAGUUAGUUGGCGGGGUAACGGCCCACCAAGACGACGAUGGGUAGGGGUUCUGAGAGGAAGGUCCCCCACAUUGGAACUGAGACACGGUCCAAAACUCCUACGGGAGGCAGCAGUGAGGAAUAUUGGUCAAUGGGCGGAAGCCUGAACCAGCCAAGUAGCGUGCAGGAAGACGGCCCUAUGGGUUGUAAACUGCUUUUAUAAGGGAAUAAAGUGAGUCUCGUGAGACUUUUUGCAUGUACCUUAUGAAUAAGGACCGGCUAAUUCCGUG